rnacentral:rRNA from 1 species
GAUGAACGCUGGCGGCGUGCCUAAUACAUGCAAGUCGAGCGAACGGACGCGAAGCUUGCUUCUCUGAUGUUAGCGGAGGACGGGUGAGUAACACGUGGAUAACCUACCUAUAAGACUGGGAUAACUUCGGGAAACCGGAGCUAAUACCGGAUAAUAUUUUGAACCGCAUGGUUCAAAAGUGAAAGACGGUCUUGCUGUCACUUCUCGCUGGAUCCGCGCUGCAUUAGCUAGUUGGUAAGGUAACGGCUUACCAAGGCAACGAUGCGUAGCCGACCUGAGAGGGUGGUCGGCCACACUGGAACUGAGACACGGUCCAGACGCCUAAGGGAGGCAGCAGAAGGGAAUCGGCCGCAGUGGGCGAAAGCCUGACGGAGCAGCGCCGCGUGAGUGAUGAAGGUCUUCGGAUCGUAAAACUCUGUUAUUAGUGAAGAACAGAUUUGUAAGGAACUGUGCACAGCGUGACGGUACCUAAUCAGAAAGCCACGGCUAACUACGUG